AUUGAACGCUGGCGGCAGGCCUAACACAUGCAAGUCGAGCGGAUGAAGGGAGCUUGCUCCUGGAUUCAGCGGCGGACGGGUGAGUAAUGCCUAGGAAUCUGCCUGGUAGUGGGGGAUAACGUCCGGAAACGGGCGCUAAUACCGCAUACGUCCUGAGGGAGAAAGUGGGGGAUCUUCGGACCUCACGCUAUCAGAUGAGCCUAGGUGGAUUAGCUAGUUGGCGGGGUAAAGGCCUACCAAGGCGACGAUCCGUAACUGGUCUGAGAGGAUGAUCAGUCACACUGGAACUGAGACACGGUCCAGACUCCUACGGGAGGCAGCAGUGGGGAAUAUUGGACAAUGGGCGAAAGCCUGAUCCAGCCAUGCCGCGUGUGUGAAGAAGGUCUUCGGAUUGUAAAGCACUUUAAGUUGGGAGGAAGGGCAGUAAGUUAAUACCUUGCUGUUUUGACGUUACCAACAGAAUAAGCACCGGCUAACUUCGUG
rnacentral:rRNA from 1 species